rnacentral:ribozyme from 1 species
AAUGGGCCACAGAGUUUGCUUUUUUUUCCUUUCUCCAACACUUUGUUUUUGUUUUUUCACUGUUUUCCUUCCAAAUCGGAAAACAAGAAAGAAUGC